rnacentral:rRNA from 1 species
UACGUAGGGUGCGAGCGUUAAUCGGAAUUACUGGGCGUAAAGCGUGCGCAGGCGGUUUUGUAAGCCAGAUGUGAAAUCCCCGGGCUUAACCUGGGAAUGGCAUUUGGGACUGCAAGGCUGGAGUGCGGCAGAGGAGACUGGAAUUCCUGGUGUAGCAGUGAAAUGCGUAGAUAUUCGGAGGAACACCAGAAGCGAAGGCGGCCAACUGGCCCGAUACUGACGCUGAGGCGCGAAAGCGUGGGGAGCAAACAGG